CUCCGGUUGAUCCCGCCGGACCCGACUGCUAUCAGAGUGGGACUAAGCCAUGCGAGUCGACGUAGCAAUGCGUGGCGAACGGCUCAGUAACACGUAGUCAACAUGCCCAGGGGACGUGGAUAACCUCGGGAAACUGAGAAUAAACCACGAUAGGUCAUGAUUUCUGGAAUGGAUCAUGGCUCAAAUCUACAUGGCCCCUGGAUUGGACUGCGGCCGAUCAGGCAGUUGGUGAGGUAAAGGCCCACCAAACCUAUAACCGGUACGGGCUCUGAGAGGAGAAGCCCGGAGAUGGGCACUGAGACAAGGGCCCAGGCCCUAUGGGGCGCAGCAGGCGCGAAACCUCUGCAAUAGGCGAAAGCCUGACAGGGUUACUCUGAGUGAUUUCCGCUAAGGGGAUCUUUUGGCACCUCUAAAAAUGGUGCAGAAUAAGGGGUGGGCAAGUCUGGUGUCAGCCGCCGCGGUAAUACCAGCACCCCGAGUGGUCGGGACGAUUAUUGGGCCUAAAGCAUCCGUAGCCGGUUCUGCAAGUCUUCCGUUAAAUCCAGCCGCUCAACGGAUGGGCCGCGGAGGAUACUACAGGACUAGGAGGCGGGAGAGGCAAGCGGUACUCAGUGGGUAGGGGUAAAAUCCUUUGAUCCAUUGAAGACCACCAGUGGCGAAGGCGGCUUGCCAGAACGCGCUCGACGGUGAGGGAUGAAAGCUGGGGGAGCAAACCGGAUUAGAUACCCGGGUAGUCCCAGCUGUAAACGAUGCAAACUCGGUGAUGCAUUGGCUUAUGGCCAAUGCAGUGCCGCAGGGAAGCCGUUAAGUUUGCCGCCCGGGAAGUACGGACGCAAGUCUGAAACUUAAAGGAAUUGGCGGGGGAGCA
rnacentral:rRNA from 1 species